AAGUCCGCACGAGCGCACCUCGCCUCUAGCUGCCAGCAUUCGGUUGGGCACUCUAGAGGGACUGCCGGCGACAAGUCGGAGGAAGGUGGGGAGUGACGUCAAAUCAUCAUGCCCCUUAUGACCUGGGCUACACACGUGCUACAAUGGGCGGUACAAAGGGCUGCGAACCCGCGAGGGGGAGCGAAUCCCAAAAAGCCGCUCUCAGUUCGGAUUGCAGGCUGCAACUCGCCUGCAUGAAGCCGGAAUCGCUAGUAAUCGCGGAUCAGCAUGCCGCGGUGAAUACGUUCCCGGGCCUU
rnacentral:rRNA from 1 species